CUAAAUUGAAAGUGCUGGUGCUGUCCACUGUCACUGUCAGUUUCCCCAAAUAUGUGAAGUGAAUUGUUAAGAUAUUUUAAUCUCCGAAGCUACGACAUAACAUGCGACAUAUACGGACUGCAUUUUUCUACGAACACUCCAGUACGACUUGUACUGGUCACCAAUGAACGAUGAAAGGACACACAAUGGGUUUUCCAGGUGCUGGGAAACAAUUUUUUCCUGUGCUCGUGCAGUGACCAAUCCAAAUACUGCGUUGUGACAUCCAGGUGCAAUCCAGGUCAAUCCUUCAUGCUAUUCACUACGAUGGAAUUCUACUGCUUUCUUCUGUGCACUGAGAUCCAAUUAACCUGCAUCGACGUAAGAAACGGACCUUUCUCUUUAAGGGGAGCGCCGUUAAUCCUACUCUUAUCCCUCUUCUUUUAUCCGGGUUUAGGAUCAGAAGGAGUUAUGCAAUCUCAUUACAAAGUCUCAUGAACGUGGCAAUGAAGAAAGCUGACUUGAAAACAUUCGCAUUUGUUCGGUUUGUUUCACCACAAGAACGCACCCAAGAUGUUAGCUGUUUCAGUUUACUUGAAUGGCAGGAACUAAUGAACGGACUAAUGAGAAGGAAGAGAUAUGCCACCUUCCCAAGCGCUUUUGCAAAAUGCAGUUGAUCAAAAGGUAA